rnacentral:rRNA from 1 species
GUGUCAGCCGCCGCGGUAAUACGGAGGGUGCAAGCGUUAUCCGGAUUCACUGGGUUUAAAGGGUGCGUAGGUGGGCUAGUAAGUCCGUGGUGAAAUCUCUGAGCUUAACUCGGAAACUGCCGUGGAUACUAUUAGUCUUGAAUCUCGUGGAGGUAAGCGGAAUAUGUCAUGUAGCGGUGAAAUGCUUAGAUAUGACAUAGAACACCGAUAGCGAAGGCAGCUUGCUACACGAGUAUUGACACUGAGGCACGAAAGCGUGGGGAUCAAACAGGAUUAGAAACCCCUGUAGUCC